CUCCAAUUUCCUCAGACCAAUCAGCACACAGGAUAUUCAGGAUCACCUUAUAUGGACAGACCACAUGGCAUUUACAGACAAAGGAAUGUACUAUCCACUUCCACACAUGCUCAGUAUACUGAUGACUCAUCCAACGGUUUGUAAUCAGAUACUAAUUAGCAUAUGUGUGUAAUUGAUAGGAUAUUUUGGGAUACUGCUAGUAUACCUAUAAUAGAGAACAAAAC